GGAGAAUUUACAAUGUUGUGCAGUUUUUACAUUUUUAACACUUCAAGCAAGAAAUAAAGCUACAAAGAUUGUUACAGGAGGGUGCAUAUGAGAUAUGGAUCUCAAAGCCUUGCAAGUUUCUAAUUGCUGGGUUUACACCAUAACACCCACGUGCCUGUCAAUCAGGUACCUCCUGCUACUUUUCAUUGGCUUGAAGAUACUAUGAGAGAUGGGGAUCUUCCAUACAGAAAUCCAGUUUCCAC